GGAACUGAACCUGCCGCGCUCCGGUUGCGCCGCACGAGGCUGCAGCUCCAAACCAGGGAAUUUGGGCUUUUUUCCUCCCUUUUUUAAUGCUGAAACUUUCUAAAACUUCACCACUUGCUCCGCGUGGCCACAUCCCUCGGGAUCUACUGCCUAUGCAAACGUCUUCUGCUCUUGGAGAAAAGCAACUCUGCCUGUUGUAGCCAACACUAGCUCGAGUGACCUCCGGCAUCUCGUCUUUGUAUUUCCCUUCAGGGCUUUGUAUACUUCACUGAGGUUCCCCUUUUUUUAAGUUUUUCUAAAUAUAUAUAUGUGUGUGUAUAUAAAUAUACAGAGUUAGUUUCAAAAAGGAGAAUUCCCUUCUGGGUAAAACAGUUGAAACACUUGGUCUCGAUCGCUUGCAACUGAGUUUUUUGAAGUAUUUGUACAUAGUUUUCAAUGUUCCUCCCUGGAUUUCGUCCACGAUCCUCAUUUGGUUUCUAAUCUGAGAGUGCAAGGAGCGUUCCAGCCUCACACCCCUCCAACACAGAACAGGGUGUGAACGGCACCGUCCUGCCCGAGCCCCACCACAACCCCAUGAGGAACGUGCUUGACUAUCAUGGAAUGGGUUGGGUUGAAGGGACCUUAAAGCUCAUCCAGUUCCAACCCCCUGCCACGGGCAGGGACACCUUCCACUAGAGCAGGUUGCUCCAAGCCCCUGUGUCCAACCUGGCCUUGAACACUGCCAGGGAUGGGGCAGCCACAGCUUCUCUGGGCACCCUGUGCCAGCGCCUCAGCACCCUCACAGGGAAGAGCUUCUGCCUCAGAGCUCAUCUCCAUCUCUCCUUUGUCAGGUUAAAGCCAUCCCCUUGUCCUGUCCCUACAGGCCCUUGUAAAGCUUUGUAAAUUUUCUUUUUAUUUAAAAGUCAUAAAUGACCCAUUUUUUAUGUAUUUUAAGGUCACCCUAAAGCCUCGCAGCUGUGGUGGGAUGUGCCAGUGAAGGUUUGCAAAGUGCCCGUCCUCCUCCCUUGUGUUGUCCUUCUCCCUUUACGUGUAACCAAAAAUCUCUGGUUUGGCCUACAAAAAGGAAUCCUUUCCAUGCACGAGGAAACCCUCUCUGGCAUCGGGUCCUGCUUUAUUUCUCCUCCCACCCCACACCUUUAAACACUCCCCUUUCCCCCUGCUAAAGCCACGUCCUGGUGGGGUUUUGGGGACGGAUGACUUGGACGGAGGCUCCGUUCAUACCCCCUGCACCUCACCCCUUUGCACGUCGCCCUUUAACAAAGAAACUCCUUGAAACUACAGGCAAAAACUGGAAUUCUUUGCAAUAUGCUGAAAGAGAAUCUUCAUUCGAGCUCCUCCUCAACACAUCAGCUCCUGCGGAAGCCAUACGUGAGAUGGGUCUUUCUGUUCCCUGCGUUCUCUCUUGUGUUUGGGAUCUCUGCCUUGGAUUUUCACUGUAGUCCCGCGUAGUCCGAGUGCUGUGUGUAUGCUCUCACAUAGAGAUAUUUAUUUUUCAACGUGCUUUAAACCUGUCUACAAAAAUAAAGCUAAAGAAAUGAGAGAAAAAAGACAAACCCGGGACAGAGUUUGAAGAUUGUUGAUGACGAUUAUUAUUAUUAUUAUUAUUUUUUGCUGGGAAUAUUCUAUAUUAUACUGACUUUAUAUUAAUUAUUAUCAACCUGUGUUUGUAUUGAAGAUGUGUUUAAUAUUCUGGGGAGGUGGUGGAGGAGGUUUUGGGUAUCCAGGAGGCAGCGGGAGGCUGUGGCUGUGGUGUUCUGAUGCUCUGUAAAUGUAGUUCAGGUAAUUCCGACCUUCUUUUCUAGUUGCUCUCCGGGUUUCCGGCCGCCUGGGCAUGCCGGAGCGUUCCUCUCGGCAGGAAUUCCUUUGUGAUGGGGUUUAGCUUAGACAUCCUUGCAGAAAUCAAUCCGUUUCAAUAAAUUGGGAUAUUGCUGCUAU
ensembl:lncRNA